GAGGGUAUAGCUCAGUGAUAGAGAGCAUGCUUAGCAUGCACGAGGUCCUGAGCUCAAUUCCCAGUACUUCUG
rnacentral:tRNA from 1 species